rnacentral:rRNA from 1 species
GGUUAAGCGACUAAGCGUACACGGUGGAUGCCCUGGCAGUCAGAGGCGAUGAAGGGCGUGCUAAUCUGCGAUAAGCGCCGGUAAGGUGAUAUGAACCGUUAUAACCGGCGAUACCCGAAUGGGGAAACCCAGUGUGAUUCGUCACACUAUCAUUAACUGAAUCCAUAGGUUAAUGAGGCGAACCGGGGGAACUGAAACAUCUAAGUACCCCGAGGAAAAGAAAUCAACCGAGAUUCCCCCAGUAGCGGCGAGCGAACGGGGAGGAGCCCAGAGCCUGAAUCAGCAUGUGUGUUAGUGGAAGCGUCUGGAAAGGCGCGCGAUACAGGGUGACAGCCCCGUACACAAAAGCGCAUGUGCUGUGAGCUCGAUGAGUAGGGCGGGACACGUGGUAUCCUGUCUGAAUAUGGGGGGACCAUCCUCCAAGGCUAAAUACUCCUGACUGACCGAUAGUGAACCAGUACCGUGAGGGAAAGGCGAAAAGAACCCCGGCGAGGGGAGUGAAAAAGAACCUGAAACCGUGUACGUACAAGCAGUGGGAGCACCCUUUGGGUGUGACUGCGUACCUUUUGUAUAAUGGGUCAGCGACUUAUAUUCUGUAGCAAGGUUAACCGAAUAGGGGAGCCGGAGGGAAACCGAGUCUUAA